rnacentral:rRNA from 1 species
CCCUUAGAUGUUCUGGGCGGCCCGCGCACUACAUUGGCACUGGCAACAAGAUCCUAGAUCUGGUAUUUCGGGGUAUUCUACCAACUGGUGUCGUGACUGGGAUUAACCCCUGCAAUUAUUGGUUAUGAACGAGGAAUUCCUUGUAAUCACGGUUUAUCAACCCGUGUUGAAUGCGUCCCUGCCCUUUGUACACACCGCCCGUCGCUCCUACCGAUGAAUCGUCCGGUGAAGUUCAUGGAGUCGCGGCUGCUCCAGCUGUUUUCGAAGUGAAAUGGACCUCAUGAUUUAGAGGAAGGAGAAGUCGUAACA